UACGUAGGGUGCGAGCGUUGUCCGGAAUUAUUGGGCGUAAAGAGCUCGUAGGCGGUUUGUCGCGUCUGCUGUGAAAACUCAGGGCUUAACCCUGAGCCUGCAGUGGGUACGGGCAGACUAGAGUGUGGUAGGGGAGAUCGGAAUUCCUGGUGUAGCGGUGGAAUGCGCAGAUAUCAGGAAGAACACCCGUGGCUAAGGCGGCUCUCUAGUACGGUACUGACGCUGAGACGCGAAAGCGUGGGGAGCGAACAGG
rnacentral:rRNA from 1 species